GGAUCUUCAACUCGCUCAAAUCACUUCCGCUAAACCGACAGCCCAUUUUUUAUCGUCCCUCUUUUUGUUGCAGAGUUGAGGCUGUCUGCGACGACCAUCGCUUUUACUUGCGAGAGCUGUCAUGACUAUCCUUGGCCACAAGGGGACGCCACAGCACCGCAAGCAGGAGUCCACGCUUGACGUUUGUUCACUUUUCUUUUAAAUAAAACUUAUUGAAAUAGGUUUAUAAAGAA